rnacentral:rRNA from 1 species
GAUCACGUAAAAUUUUAAUAGUCGAACAGACUAAAAUUUAUUUAGCCCCUUCACCAAAAAUAAAAAUUUAAUUCAACAUCGAGGUCGCAAACUUAAUUAUUAAUAAGAACUUGUUAAUCAAAUAACGCUGUUAUCCCUAGAGUAACUUCCCUAUAUAAUAUUUAAUUACUUUUAUAAAAAUAUGUACUCUUCAAAUGUUACCCCAACCAAAAAUUUCAUAAAUUUUAAAAGCUUCUAGGGUCUUCUCGUCCCAAAGAUUUAUAAAAGCAUUUUUACUUUUAAUUUAAAUUCAAACUCAUUAAAUAAAACCUUCUUUCUAGUUUCUACCCUUCAUUCCAGCUCCCAAUUAAAAAG